rnacentral:rRNA from 1 species
GAUGAACGCUGGCGGCGUGCCUAAUACAUGCAAGUAGAACGCUGAAGCUUGGUGCUUGCACCGAGCGGAUGAGUUGCGAACGGGUGAGUAACGCGUAGGUAACCUGCCUCUUAGCGGGGGAUAACUAUUGGAAACGAUAGCUAAUACCGCAUAAAAUUCGAUAUCGCAUGAUAUUGAUUUGAAAGAUGCAGUUGCAUCACUAAGAGAUGGACCUGCGUUGUAUUAGCUAGUUGGUGAGGUAACGGCUCACCAAGGCGACGAUACAUAGCCGACCUGAGAGGGUGAUCGGCCACACUGGGACUGAGACACGGCCCAGACUCCUACGGGAGGCAGCAGUAGGGAAUCUUCGGCAAUGGGGGCAACCCUGACCGAGCAACGCCGCGUGAGUGAAGAAGGUUUUCGGAUCGUAAAGCUCUGUUGUAAGAGAAGAACGAGUGUGAGAGUGGAAAGUUCACACUGUGACGGUAACUUACCAGAAAGGGACGGCUAACUACGUGCCAGCAGCCGCGGUAAUACGUAGGUCCCGAGCGUUAUCCGGAUUUAUUGGGCGUAAAGCGAGCGCAGGCGGUUAGAUAAGUCUGAAGUUAAAGGCUGUGGCUUAACCAUAGUACGCUUUGGAAACUGUUUAACUUGAGUGCAGAAGGGGAGAGUGGAAUUCCAUGUGUAGCGGUGAAAUGCGUAGAUAUAUGGAGGAACACCGGUGGCGAAAGCGGCUCUCUGGUCUGUAACUGACGCUGAGGCUCGAAAGCGUGGGGAGCAAACAGG